rnacentral:rRNA from 1 species
GACGAACGCUGGCGGCGUGCUUAACACAUGCAAGUCGAACGAAGUGGCGAACGGGUGAGUAACGCGUAAUCAACCUGCCCUUCAGAGGGGGACAACAGUUGGAAACGACUGCUAAUACCGCAUACUGAAGGAGGGGACUGCGGCUGAUUAGCUAGUUGGAGGGGUAACGCCCCACCAAGGCGAUGAUCAGUAGCCGGACUGAGAGAAUGAACGGCAACAUUGGGACUGAGACACGGCCCAGACGCCUACGGGAGGCAGCAGGGGGGAAUCGUCCGCAAUGGACGACAGUCUGACGGAGCAACGCCGCGUGAGUGAUGACGGCCUUCGGGUUGUAAAGCUCUGUUAAUCGGGACGCGGUACCGGAAUAGAAAGCCACGGCUAACUACGUGCCAGCAGCCGCGGUAAUUC